rnacentral:rRNA from 1 species
AACGAACGCUGGCGGCAUGCCUAACACAUGCAAGUCGAACGAGACCUUCGGGUCUAGUGGCGAACGGGUGCGUAACGCGUGGGAACCUGCCCUUAGGUUCGGAAUAACUCCCCGAAAGGGGUGCUAAUACCGGAUAAUGUCUUCGGACCAAAGAUUUAUCGCCUUUGGAUGGGCCCGCGUUGGAUUAGCUAGUUGGUAGGGUAAAAGCCUACCAAGGCGACGAUCCAUAGCUGGUCUGAGAGGAUGACCAGCCACACUGGGACUGAGACACGGCCCAGACUCCUACGGGAGGCAGCAGUGGGGAAUAUUGGACAAUGGGCGAAAGCCUGAUCCAGCAAUGCCGCGUGAGUGAUGAAGGCCUUAGGGUUGUAAAGCUCUUUUACCCGGGAUGAUAAUGACAUUACCGGGAGAAUAAGCUCCGGCUAACUCCGUG